rnacentral:rRNA from 1 species
CGACGGGGGGUGAGUAAUGCUUGGGAAUCUGGCUUAUGGAGGGGGAUAACUACGGGAAACUGUAGCUAAUACCGCGUAAUAUCGGAAGAUUAAAGGGUGGGACUUUCGGGCCACCUGCCAUAAGAUGAGCCCAAGUGGGAUUAGGUAGUUGGUUAGGUAAAGGCUGACCAAGCCGACGAUCUCUAGCUGGUCUGAGAGGAUGACCAGCCACACUGGAACUGAGACACGGUCCAG